AUUGAACGCUGGCGGCAUGCCUUACACAUGCAAGUCGAACGGUAACAGGUCUUCGGAUGCUGACGAGUGGCGAACGGGUGAGUAAUACAUCGGAACGUGCCCAGACGUGGGGGAUAACGAGGCGAAAGCUUUGCUAAUACCGCAUACGAUCUAAGGAUGACAGCAGGGGACCGCAAGGCCUUGCGCGUUUGGAGCGGCCGAUGGCAGAUUAGGUAGUUGGUGGGAUAAAAGCUUACCAAGCCGACGAUCUGUAGCUGGUCUGAGAGGACGACCAGCCACACUGGGACUGAGACACGGCCCAGACUCCUACGGGAGGCAGCAGUGGGGAAUUUUGGACAAUGGGCGAAAGCCUGAUCCAGCAAUGCCGCGUGCAGGAUGAAGGCCUUCGGGUUGUAAACUGCUUUUGUACGGAACGAAAAGGCUCUGGCUAAUACCUGGGGCACAUGACGGUACCGUAAGAAUAAGCACCGGCUAACUACGUG
rnacentral:rRNA from 1 species